rnacentral:rRNA from 1 species
GGGUUAGUAGGUUGGUCAUGCCUCUGGUAUGUACUGGUCUCACUGAUUCCUCCUUCCUGAUGAACCUUAAUGCCAUUAAUUUGGUGUUUUGGGGAAUUUGGACUGUUACUUUGAAAAAAUUAGAGUGUUUAAAGCAGGCUCACGCUUGAAUACAUCAGCAUGGAAUAACGAAAUAGGACGUUUGAUUUUAUUUUGUUGGUUUUGAGGACCAAUGUC